CCUACGGGUGGCAGCAGUGAGGAAUAUUGGUCAAUGGACGCAAGUCUGAACCAGCCAUGCAGCGUGAAGGAAGACGGCCCUACGGGUUGUAAACUUCUUUUGUAAAGGAAUAAACUGAGGUACGUGUGCAUAUCUGUAAGUACUUUAUGAAUAAGGAUCGGCUAACUCCGUGCCAGCAGCCGCGGUAAUACGGAGGAUCCGAGCGUUAUCCGGAUUUAUUGGGUUUAAAGGGAGCGUAGGUGGAUUGUUAAGUCAGAGGUGAAAGUUGGCGGCUCAACCGUGAAAUUGCCACUGAUACUGUCAGUCUUGAGUACAGUUGAGGUAGGCGGAAUGUGUGGUGUAGCGGUGAAAUGCUUAGAUAUCACGUAGAACUCCGAUUGCGAAGGCAGCUUACUAAUCU
rnacentral:rRNA from 1 species